rfam:Gorilla gorilla gorilla genomic chromosome, chr14, whole genome shotgun sequence
GCUGGGCGUGGUGGCGUGCGCCUGUAAUCCCAGCUACUCGGGAGGCUGAGGCAGGAGAAUCGCUUGAACCCAGGAGGUGGAGGCUGCAGUGAGUCGAGACUGCACCACUGUACUCCAGCCUGGGCGACAGAGCGAGACUCCGUCUCAA